rnacentral:rRNA from 1 species
UACGUAGGUGGCAAGCGUUAUCCGGAUUUAUUGGGCGUAAAGGGAACGCAGGCGGUCUUUUAAGUCUGAUGUGAAAGCCUUCGGCUUAACCGGAGUAGUGCAUUGGAAACUGGGAGACUUGAGUGCAGAAGAGGAGAGUGGAACUCCAUGUGUAGCGGUGAAAUGCGUAGAUAUAUGGAAGAACACCAGUGGCGAAAGCGGCUUGCUGGACUGUAACUGACGUUGAGGCUCGAAAGCGUGGGGAGCAAACAGG